UCCUAACACAUGCGCGUCGAACGUGAAAACGGGGCCACCCGCAAGUAGAGUGGGGGACGGGUGACCUAAUACAUCGGAACGUGUCCAGUAAUGGGGGAUAACCUAACGAAAGUGACGCUAAUACCGCAUACGAUCUGUAGAUGAUACCGGGGGAUGCACCACUAAAACGCUAUGGGGCAAAGCUACACGUCGAAGUGCGAAUCCAAUGAGUGUGUAGUGAUGCUGCACCUCCCGUUAUUGGAGCGGCUGAUGUCUGAUUAGCUACUGGGUGAGGUAAUGGCUUACCAUCGCGACGAUCAGUAACUGGUCUGACAGGACGGACA
rnacentral:rRNA from 1 species